GUCCCCGUAGCUCAGUCGGAUAGAGCGACCGCCUCCUAAGCGGUAGGCCACCAGUUCAAUUCUGGUCGGGGACAC
rnacentral:tRNA from 1 species